UGUAGAGUUGGUCCUAUGUGUUUCUUACCCAAUGCAUAGCAAAGUUCAAUAGGGGAUGACACGCAGGCUUUCCGAGGUCCAAAAUGGUGUUAGCUAUUGGGAAAAACUGACAGCCACAGUACAAUGUCCGCUGUUAGAGUUGGUCUAAUAUCUAAAUAUCUAUCAAAAGUUACUAGUAGUUAGAGUUAACGUGCCAAACAGCUGGGCUACAUCUUUGGUGACAUUUUAGUCGUGCAGGACUCAAAAGGUGAAAAUGCGAUCAAUUUGAUACAUUUCUUACCAAAAAAUACGUAAAAAAUGAUACCAUGGAAUUUGAGAAAAAUCCUUUUAAAUAUCUUAACACAAACUAUACUCCAACCCAAUGCAUGUUCGGUGAUUUGUAUGAUAUGAAAAAAACACCAACAAAACUUAAAAGCUCGUUGGCAUGAUGGCAUCCAAGCAACCAGGCCCAUGGUCCCCGCAUAUCAGCCUGGGCAUCAUAAAUCAUGAAUUACCAAAGCACAGACAAAUUAAAAUACGUUUUUGUCUAGUCUGUAUAACACAAACACUGCUAUAUGGGGCUGUAACUGAGGAUGUUGGGCGGACUGCUAUAAGCUAGAUUUAAUCAGGCUAAUUUUUCUUGAUUCCAGCCCCAAAAAGGGUUACUCGUAGUCUCGUCUGGUUUGGACUGAGACGUCAGAAAAGAGCAUGGGCGUGGACGGAUGGUACACCGCUGAUCUACACUAACUGGGCUCCUGGUGAGCCUGGCAAGAACUUCGUGGGAAAGGCUGCAAAUUGUGGCAAUGUGUACUCCAAGAGCGGCAAGUCUUGGAUUUCAGGUGGAAGAGGGAAGAAAGGCCAGUGGAAUGACCAUGACUGCACCAACGGACAUGCCUACGUUUGCAAGAAAGAGCGAUAGAAAAUUCUAUUACUCUUACCAAAGGAUACAUUUUUGGCAAAAGAAGUACUGUUAUAGCACAUUGGUACGCGAGGUGCUUACUUUGAUGCUCCAGUGUCUUGGGACACAGGAUCCUAUGUAGCAACCAUUCGUAACAUCAUCUUUUUGUACACUCUGUAUAUUGCACUGUAACGAGAAAAAAAAUCAAGUAAAUUGUGCUUUGUAUUGAGAAGUACCUAACCAAGAAAAAGUUGUAGUAGACAAGUCCAAUAAUAGCUCAGAUUAAAGAUGACUAAAUUUUGAUGACUUGAACUUCCUCCACACUAUAAAGCAGAGUAAAGCUGGUAAUACAUGAUCAGUUGCUCUUGAUGUUUCCUUAUGAAAUAACAUUAGACUUGUAUACAUUGCCAUGCAAGUUUUAAUUGCGACCAGUGAAAUGAUGACAGCAGGAGUACAUGGUGUAUCAGUGGACACUUAAGAAUUGUGCAAUGAGAAAUUCCUAUUACAUUUCUGUAGAAGUUGUUUUGAAUUUGCUUGAGGCAAAAUGUGAAAUGUAGAACCAGUAAUUCAAAUCAAGAAAAUUUGAUAAAAGUUCUUUGAAAUUUGUGCAAGUUGAUUGUCAGUUGGCUGAGAAGAUAGAGAAAGACAACAGACUGAGUAUGUAUAGGGCCAAGAAAUGUAUUUAAUGUUACAUGUGGGUACAAUAGUAACUAAAAAAGUUGCCUGCAAAGAAAAAUACUACUUGAUUACUGUCAUUUACACAAGACUUUUUAUCAAUACUGCAUCGUGGUCAAUACCACAGAAAAGUUGUCACGUUUUCUGUACAGCACCUACAUAAUGAAUAAAGAGUUGUUGGGACUCAC